GUAAUCCAGUCUAUUGUUGCGGGUGAACAUCCUGAAGUAUGUAGAUAUGGUGUUAAAUGAUAUAUUGAAAUUGCACAAAUCACAAAUCCAAGAUGCUUCGAGGAACACUAUCGCCGUGGCGUACCAAAAAUCAUCGUCCAGUCUGAGGUCCUUGGAGUAGCCGCCGAGCAGGACGACGGUCGCCCAGGUGAAGGCCAGCGUGCCCAAGGCGUUGCCGAGCCUCUCGAUGAGUGCCACAAACCGGACGAAGCGAUUCAGCCCC